UACGUAGGGGGCAAGCGUUGUCCGGAAUUAUUGGGCGUAAAGAGCUCGUAGGCGGUGUGUCGCGUCGGCCGUGAAAACCUGCAGCUUAACUGUGGGCUUGCGGUCGAUACGGGCAUCACUUGGAGUUCGGCAGGGGAGACUGGAAUUCCUGGUGUAGCGGUGAAAUGCGCAGAUAUCAGGAGGAACACCGGUGGCGAAGGCGGGGUCUCUGGGGCCGAUACUGA
rnacentral:rRNA from 1 species